AAGAGAGUAAAGGAGGAAGACUUAGGGCUGAGGAGUAUGACAGGUCCACUCGUAUUCAUCCAAAGAUGAAGAUGAGCUCUAUGGGCCAUGCACCAGUGGCGGAUUAUUUGUCAUAUCAGAAGCACAGGCAAAUUUAGGUGAAGCUGGGAUGUGUCCUCUUUCCUCUUAACCCCCUAGCUCAGGACCUGGUAAAUACAGCAAAUGGGGAGUGAGUUUCUCAAAUGCCUGGCUGUGUCCGCCCUGUGCCUGCCCCGAGAUGGGGUGGUGGAAUAGCAGGAGGAGCCUUGCCAGCCUGCAGGACUCAGGUACUGCUGAGCCCUCCAGUUACCAUGACUACAGCACUUUCCAACGGGUUUCUAUAAGACAAGGAUGUUUUGGACAUGUUCAAGCCCCCAGAACUGGCUGCACCCCAUGUGCCUUUCUCUCAGUGCAGCAACUUACGUGCUAAGAAUGGCCCCUGCCAGAGCAUAUUGUGCUGGGCGGUCAUGGGUGGCGGAAACUACUGGCCUGUCUUUUGACAACCCACAGGAAACAUUUGCACCUCCAGCACUUUCCGCUCAAAGUGCUCCAUGGUAGCAACACCUGUGUGUGGUGCAGAAGCUGUGGCUACACUGCUUUAUAACUCAUCUUUCUAUCUGACCUCUGGAGUACAGUGAAAGACCAAAACUUUACUGC
rnacentral:sRNA from 1 species